AGCGAACGCUGGCGGCAGGCCUAACACAUGCAAGUCGAACGGAUCCUUCGGGAUUAGUGGCGGACGGGUGAGUAACACGUGGGAACGUGCCCUUUGGUUCGGAACAACUCAGGGAAACUUGAGCUAAUACCGGAUGUGCCCUUCGGGGGAAAGAUUUAUCGCCAUUGGAGCGGCCCGCGUCGGAUUAGCUAGUUGGUGAGCGAAAGGCGCACCAAGGCGACGAGCAGUAGCUGGUCUGAGAGGAUGAUCAGCCACAGGGGGACUGAGACACGGCCCAAACUCCUACGGGAGGCAGCAGGGGGGAAUCGUGCGCAAUGGGCGAAAGCUUGACGCAGCCAUGCCGCGUGAAUGAGGAAGGUCUUAGGAGGGUAAAAUUCGUGCACCGGGGACGAGAAGGACGGUACCCGGAGAAGAAGCCCCGGCGAACUUCGUGCCAGCCGCCGCGGUAAGAC
rnacentral:rRNA from 1 species